CAGUAGCCGCGGUAAUACGUAGGGUGCAAGCGUUAAUCGGAAUUACUGGGCGUAAAGCGUGCGCAGGCGGUUCGCUAAGACAGAUGUGAAAUCCCCGGGCUUAACCUGGGAACUGCAUUUGUGACUGGUGGGCUAGAGUAUGGCAGAGGGGGGUAGAAUCCCACGUGUAGCAGUGAAAUGCGUAGAGAUGUGGAGGAAUACCGAUGGCGAAGGCAGCCCCCUGGGCCAAUACUGACGCUCAUGCACGAAAGCGUGGGGAGCAAACAGGAUUAGAUACCCCGGUAGUCCCUGUCUCUUAUAA
rnacentral:rRNA from 1 species